rnacentral:rRNA from 1 species
CCUACGGGAGGCAGCAGUGAGGAAUAUUGGUCAAUGGGCGCGAGCCUGAACCAGCCAAGUCGCGUGAAGGAAGACUGCCCUACGGGUUGUAAACUUCUUUUAUAAAGGAAGAAAGUGAGGUACGUGUGCGUUGUUGCAUGUACUUAAUGAAUAAGGAUCGGCUAACUCCGUGCCAGCAGCCGCGGUAAUACGGAGGAUCCGAGCGUUAUCCGGAUUUAUUGGGUUUAAAGGGUGCGUAGAUGGGUUGUUAAGUUAGUUGGUAAAUUUUGGGGCUAAACCGUAGAAUUGCAAUUGAUACUGGCAGUCUUGAGUACAGAUGAGGUAGGCGGAAUAAGUGGAGUAGCGGUGAAAUGCUUAGAUAUGACGAAGAACUCCGAUUGCGAAGGCAGCUUACUAGGCUGCCACUGACGCUGAUGCUCGAAAGUGUGGGUAGCAAACAGGAUUAGAUACCCCUGUAGUC